rnacentral:rRNA from 1 species
AGUGAACGCUGGCGGUAGGCCUAACACAUGCAAGUCGAACGGCAGCACAGUAAGAGCUUGCUCUUACGGGUGGCGAGUGGCGGACGGGUGAGGAAUACAUCGGAAUCUACUUUUUCGUGGGGGAUAACGUAGGGAAACUUACGCUAAUACCGCAAACGACCUACGGGUGAAAGCAGGGGAUCUUCGGACCUUGCGCGAUUGCAUGAGCCGAUGUCGGAUUAGCUAGUUGGCGGGGUAAAGGCCCACCAAGGCAACGAUCCGUAGCUGGUCUGAGAGGAUGAUCGGCCAAUCUGGAACUGGGACACGGUCCAGACUCCAACGGGAGGCAGCAGUGGGGAAUAUUGGACAAUGGGGGCAAGCCGGAUCCAGCCAUCCCGCGUGGGUGAAGAAGGCCUUCGGGUUGUAAAGCCCUUUUGUUGGGAAAGAAAAGCAGCAGGUUAAUACCCCGCUGUUCUGACGGUAACCAAAGAAUAAGCACCGGCUAACUACGUG